GCCGGGGUCGCCUAGAGGUAGGGCGGCAGCCUGCUAAGCUGUUUAGUCGAAAGGCUUCCGUGGGUUCGAAUCCCACCCCCGGCG
rnacentral:tRNA from 1 species